rnacentral:rRNA from 1 species
GAUGAACGCUGGCGGCGUGCCUAAUACAUGCAAGUCGAGCGAACAGAUAAGGAGCUUGCUCCUUUGAUGUUAGCGGCGGACGGGUGAGUAACACGUGGGUAACCUACCUAUAAGACUGGGAUAACUUCGGGAAACCGGAGCUAAUACCGGAUAACAUUUGGAACCGCAUGGUUCUAAAGUGAAAGAUGGUUUUGCUAUCACUUAUAGAUGGACCCGCGCCGUAUUAGCUAGUUGGUAAGGUAACGGCUUACCAAGGCGACGAUACGUAGCCGACCUGAGAGGGUGAUCGGCCACACUGGAACUGAGACACGGUCCAGACUCCUACGGGAGGCAGCAGUAGGGAAUCUUCCGCAAUGGGCGAAAGCCUGACGGAGCAACGCCGCGUGAGUGAUGAAGGGUUUCGGCUCGUAAAACUCUGUUAUUAGGGAAGAACAAAUGUGUAAGUAACUGUGCACGUCUUGACGGUACCUAAUCAGAAAGCCACGGCUAACUACGUG